rnacentral:tmRNA from 2 species
GGGAAUAAUAAUAGAAUUGACAUUUAUUA